AGUGAACGCUGGCGGUAGGCCUAACACAUGCAAGUCGAACGGCAGCACAGGAGAGCUUGCUCUCUGGGUGGCGAGUGGCGGACGGGUGAGGAAUACAUCGGAAUCUGCCCAGUCGUGGGGGAUAACGUAGGGAAACUUACGCUAAUACCGCAUACGACCUUCGGGUGAAAGAGGGGGAUCGCAAGACCUCUCGCGAUUGGAUGAGCCGAUGUCGGAUUAGCUAGUUGGCGAGGUAAUGGCCCACCAAGGCGACGAUCCGUAGCUGGUCUGAGAGGAUGAUCAGCCACACUGGAACUGAGACACGGUCCAGACUCCUACGGGAGGCAGCAGUGGGGAAUAUUGGACAAAGGGCGCAAGCCUGAUCCAGCCAUACCGCGUGGGUGAAGAAGGCCUUCGGGUUGUAAAGCCCUUUUGUUGGGAAAGAAAUCUUUCAGGCUAAUACCCUGGGAGGAUGACGGUACCCAAAGAAUAAGCACCGGCUAACUUCGUG
rnacentral:rRNA from 1 species